rnacentral:lncRNA from 1 species
UAAGAAGGUAGCCGGCGCCUUUCGAAGCACUUUCUAUUUCUAGUUAGCGUUUUUUUUAUUGCAGCUAGCGCGCUUGACUAAUAAGAUAGAAAGGGCCUUUCUCGCUUGUUUAGUAAAUUUAAGUUUUUGGCCUUAUCUUGCAGUGAUGAGGACGUCGAGUUGACGGCAGAUAAAGACUCGGCUUUCAGGCAAGCCACCCGGUGGUGUGGUACGUAGUGGGUUUAGUAAGCCCCGCCCAAACAAACGGCUCCGAAACAAACAAAAAGGUGCGUGCCACACUCAUGAAGGACUGCUAGUGAUAUACUGGAGGAAGGUGGGGAUGAUGUCAAGUCCGCAUGACCCUUAUGGGCUGGGCCACACACGUGCUACAAAUGGCAAUUACAAUGGGAAGCAAGGCUGUAAGGCGGAGCGAAUCCGGAAAGAUUGCCUCAGUUCGGAUUGUUCUCUGCAACUCGGGAACAUGAAGUUGGAAUCGCUAGUAAUCGCGGAUCAGCAUGCCGUGGUGAAUAUGUACCCGGGCCCUGUACACAUCGCCCGUCACACCCUGGAAAUUGGUUUCGCCCGAAGCAUCAGAGCAAUGAUCACCCAUGACUUCUGUGGCACACUAGUGCCACAAAGGCCUUUGGUAGUCUUAUUGGCGCAUACCACGGUGGGGUCUUCAACUGGGGUGAAGUCGUAACAAGGUAGCCGUAGGGGAACCUGUGGCUAGAUUAAAUCUUUCGCGAUGGAAAUGCACUCUUCCCCUAACUUUCCAACAUAGGGGGCUAGCUUGCUUCCACUGGUGGCGGGUGGGCAAAGGGUCCAAAGGACACGUAGCCGGGGGACGAGUCCAAAAUCCAAUUGUUCCAUUUUCUUUCUUGUUCAUCAAUCGAAAAUCAAGAAAAACCGGGCACUACGGUAAGACGUGAAAACACCCGAUCCCAUUCCGACCUCGAUAUGUGGAAUCGUCUUGCGCCAUAUGUACUGAGAUUGUUCGGGAGACAUGGUCCAAGCCCGGUGAAAAAAGAAAUAAAAAAAGAUUAUGAUGUCAAAAUCUUGCACCCUUGUUUUUCCGAUUUCCCAGCUACUGCAUGUUGAUUAUACUUAUUUAAGUACGACGUAUUUGUAUAUUCUAUUUUUUUUAUUUUUUUAUGGCAUCAUCCGGGUUUUCAAGACCCGGUCAAGGAAUUGGAAAAUUCCUUGAAUGGAUUUCUCUGAGCACAAAAUAGAGUGUUUAGUUGAAUAUUCGUUGGUGUCGAAAUGGAGCACCAAGAGUGGUUGGACAUCUAUGGUAAUUAAUGGUAACAUUGAUUAUCAUAGACGGUCGAUAUACUUUUGUAAUCUCCGAUCAUCAACCAAAUCCAUACCAUUAUUGUAGAAAGACAAUAAUGGCUGUGGAUUAAAGUUGAUUGAUUCCUAAGUUGGAACCUUAGGCGCCCCCCCCCCGAAUCCGAUUUAUUUGGAUCAAUAGGGAGAGUAGAUUAUGAUGGUGUUUUACGACGUUAGCAUUAAAGAAAAUUACAACACUAUUAUGAAAACAAUAAUGCAUUUUUUUAGUGCGGUCGAAAGAACACAAAAAUUCUCUUGGCGGGGUCUGUUUGAACAGACCCGGCAACUAAAGGGACUUCUUUUUCGGGUUCCUUUAGUUGUCUCUAUGUCCAUGCAUAAGGAGGUCGCCCUAGCGGGCUGCGAUUUCAUUAAAACAGUUGUGAAACUGAAACGACAUUCAGGUUUUCUGUAUACUGCUUUGUAUUUAAAACAGUGUACAGUUUCCCUUCAGCGUUAUUACGCUGGGUGUUAUUCUAAGAAUGACACCAUGUCUGUUCCAGUUUCAUUGACCCGAUGUGGAAUUCCCAAGAUCAUACCUGCGGUAUUACGAAAACACGUAAGGGCAAAGCCUGAUCAUGGUGAUUAUUUGGUCAGGAUAUAUCUAUCUUGGUUUGGAUUAUCAAAAUAGAUUGCGGUGGCUCCUAAAGUGAAGAAAGCCACUUUCCAAUCAAUUACGACUCCUCACUCAGAUAUUGAUAGUGUCCGUGAAGUUCUUGGAGAAAUGAAAACUUCUUGAAAGAAGCUUCGACCAAUGUAUCUUCCACAUCUCCAAUCCAUACCUCUUGAAAAGGGUAUGAAUUGGAAACCUACCUGGAAAAGUACUCCAUUACUCGACAACUUUGUCCGCCGGUUUCAAUAUUCGGUGGAUGAUGUUGUAGACGGAGCAGCGGCUAAAUAUGUUAAAGAACACAAUAUCUUUGUGAACUUAAAGCAUGAGAUAGCAGCGUUCAUCUUUAAUGUGAAUAAAAUUCAUUCCAUUCAAGAUGGGUUCUUUUCCCCUGGUAUUCUUUGGUCUCAAAGGGUUUUAUACCCAUUUUAUUCUAAUAAUACCAGGUUUGCUAAUGAAUCCCUUGAUUUAUUUGAAAAACAAGUAGGACCCCCUUUCUCUAGCUUAUUAGGGGCCUACCAAGGAGUUCCAUUAGUGACUGGUAGAUUGGCUCAGGCCAUUGAAGGUGGUGGGAAGCGGAGGAUCUUUGCUAUAUGUAAUUAUAUAAAACAAAGACUUCUGCAUCCCGUCCAUAUUUGGGCUAUGACUGUACUAUCAAGUCUUAAGACUGAUGGUACAUUCAACCAAGAACGUCCGUUGCAGUAUCUAAGACUUAAAAGACCGAAGUCUUGUUACUCUUUUGAUUUAAAAUCAGCAACAGACCGUUGGCCAUUGAGUGUUAUAUACACCUUAAUCGAAAUGAUUUGGGGUAGUACUUUAGCAUCUUCAAUAGUCAACAGUUCUUUGGGUCUUAACACCUUUCUCGUAUCACCUCCUAUGGUGAAGAAGAUUAGUGAAGUAGCCUUUCUUACUGGACAACCGUUAGGUUACUACGGUUCAUGGUCACUGUUCUCGCUGUCCCAUCACUAUAUAGUGUGGUUGGCGACUUUGAAGGCUUAUCCGCUACGAAGCACCCCGUUUGUUGAUUAUGCCCUUCUUGGUGAUGAUAUCCUAAUCACCGACAAGAAGGUGGCCAAUCAGUACAGUAGGUUAUUGGAUAGACUCAGUGUUACCAUUUCAUUUGCUAAAUCAAUAGUAUCUGAAAAUGGAACAAUUGAGUUUGCUAAGAGGUUUUGGAUACGAGAUAUGCAAAAAGAUAUCUCUCCCAUCUCUCUCAAAGCUUUAACCUCCUGUAGAACGACUGUAGGCCUGUGCCAAUUGUCCUGCCGAUACUCGAUAGAAAUAUCGACUUUACAAAGGCUAGCGGGUGCAGGUUAUAAGGUCCGUUCUCGCCUGAUGUCUACUCAGUCACCACGAUGGGAAAGACUAAAGGCGGCUGCUUGUAAACCAAACAGGUUACAUCUAUUACCUCUUGAAUUUUGGAUUGGAAGGCGGCGCCCUCGCCCCUCAAUCCUUAUUUGAAGGCGAAAAUAAUAGAUUAUCUGCGUGAGGCUGUAAAGCCUAAGCAGAUACAAAUCUUUCCAAAAGAUUUGGUAUUUGAUGGAGAACGGGAAAUCCUUGAGCGGGCUGUUAUCCUUAAUUGGAUGAAACAGUGGUUGACUUGGCUUUCUUGGUAUCAUACUGUAGCAUUAUCACCAGAUGUGACCAUUGAUCAACUAUUUGAUGUUCCUAUGUGUGCCACUUCUUGGAAACGAUCAAACGAAGAUUAUGAAUUAAUCAAGUUUGGGUACGUUUGGAAGUGUUACGAUAUGGGAGCAGGUUGGAACCUUUCAACUACACCUAGGUGGUUGUUUGGUCCUCCAACUCUCAGUUUUAUAUUGGUUGAUCAAUAGGUAUUUGGUGGUCUUCAUGGCAAGGAUCUCCUUAUUAGUCCUAAGGAUUUACCAUCCUUACGGAAAAUGGAUAUAAAUAUUAGAAUUUAGGUGCAUCUGAGCACAUAAACCCUUUUGGUAAAAUUCCGCAAGGAACGGUGACCAAGAGGGUGAUUGUGGUUGCAGUCUGGUUAACUGCUUCCACAAACACCCAGCCUGCUGAUAGGUAAUAUGUAAUAGAAGAAUCAGGAUGUGCGAGAUAUGGAUAUGAAACUGGAUAUGCUUGAACCGGACCGCAUCUCGAUUUGCACAUGGAUAAUCUGCUGUAUUACCCUAAAGAGUCAUACUCAUAUCCAGGGCAUUUUGUCCUUGAAAGAGCGUCAUCAGUCUAGCUCGUCAUGACUCGAUCAUGACCUUAGGCGGAAUUGGUCUUGGCCGGAAGAACAAAAGAUACUGGCAAGCACAGAGCAGCCGUCAAAAGGGGUUUCGUAGAGUGGUCCUAACCCCAGGGUAAUCCUUGGAGCUUUCUCCAUGCCCGACAAAGAGAACUUGGUGUGAAUCGGGGUAGCUAGCUACCAGCUCGUCUAACUAAUGUACUGGUGUAAUUCCAUGCAAAUAUGGCUACCCGGCGAACAUGAGGUCCCACUCACUAUUCAUGGCCAGACAAAAAGGGACCACUAGCCUAGAGAAUCAAAUAGGCAAUAGGCCCUGAGUUCACCCGCUUGCCCGAAGAUGAAGGGGAAGAAAGGGAUGCCAGGGACAGAGUAACCGGAGGGGGCAUGAAAUGAACCCGGAAGGGAAGCCACAGGAGCAGGAGUGGAGAGAAAGCGAAAGAGAAAAUGUGUUUUCCCAUUCGAUUGAUCGAUUAAGAGUCCCGAACCGAAGCCCAAGCCCAUACUCUGACUAAGAAAAGUGGAAGUUCCUACCCUGGGAGCAUUGACAUAUGAUCUUUCCGGAUUAGGGAGCAGAGUAUGAACCAGAAACCAAUAUGAAAGAAAGUCAUCAAGCAAGAUAGCAAGUGUCAAGUGUAGGUCUCCCAUUCUAUUACUGGGAGUUAGAACAUGAAAUGAAGAAGUAAUAAAGAACAUUACCGCCCCAAAUCUCAUUGAUUAGGUCUUCUGGAUCACCUGAUAAUCGUCUAAUCAAACAAAUGUCAUGACCUAGUGGGCUUUAGGACUAAAGCAGAGAAAGAGAUGUCCUUGUCAGAGGACCAAGCCACUCGAACAAAGUGAGAUUAGUGGAAUAAAACUUCUUGACCGACGAGCUUCAAUAUGAGCUUCGAGAAAAGCAUGCAAAGCACACUAACCUAACUCAAUGAAGGCGACUGCCAGCACUGACUCAGACACACAUGUGGGCGGUUGAGUAGUGGGUUGAUUUGAUCAGAAAAGUAGUAUACCUCCGACUGAAUCAAUAUCGCGUUCUCCUUUGCUGCUAUGAAGGAAAGCGGUAUGGAUAGGAAAGCACAAGUUCCGACUAAGCGGCUUAUAAAGUCUUCUCUUGUACCUGGACCGUCGGCUUAUAUCUUUGGCUUAGUUGGAAAACCCUCCUAUCGCUAAAGAGCGAGGUUUUCACCAGCACUUGAGCUAGUAGCCAAUUGCAUUGACAUAUGAUCUUUCCGGAUUAGGGAGCAGAGUAUGAACCAGAAACCAAUAUGAAAGAAAGUCAUCAAGCAAGAUAGCAAGUGUCAAGUGUAGGUCUCCCAUUCUAUUACUGGGAGUUAGAACAUGAAAUGAAGAAGUAAUAAAGAACAUUACCGCCCCAAAUCUCAUUGAUUAGGUCUUCUGGAUCACCUGAUAAUCGUCUAAUCAAACAAAUGUCAUGACCUAGUGGGCUUUAGGACUAAAGCAGAGAAAGAGAUGUCCUUGUCAGAGGACCAAGCCACUCGAACAAAGUGAGAUUAGUGGAAUAAAAACUUCUUGACCGACGAGCUUCAAUAUGAGCUUCGAGAAAAGCAUGCAAAGCACACUAACCUAACUCAAUGAAAGGCGACUGCCAGCACUGACUCAGACACACAUGUGGGCGGUUGAGUAGUGGGUUGAUUUGAUCAGAAAAGUAGUAUACCUCCGACUGAAUCAAUAUCGCGUUCUCCUUUGCUGCUAUGAAGGAAAGCGGUAUGGAUAGGAAAGCACAAGUUCCGACUAAGCGGCUUAUAAAGUCUUCUCUUGUACCUGGACCGUCGGCUUAUAUCUUUGGCUUAGUUGGAAAACCCUCCUAUCGCUAAAGAGCGAGGUUUUCACCAGCACUUGAGCUAGUAGCCAAUUUCUUAGAUAGGGCUUUCAGCUAGUUUGUGUAAGCGUCUUUGUAAGCAAUACCCCAAAAACUCUGACAAAAGAGAUUGAAUGACAGGUUAGUUCACUUAUUUCGGGCAUUAUCUUACGUCAUUCGUUAAAGCGCUUUCUAUAAGCCUUUAAUUUAAGGACGUUUUAAAGAAGAGAAAAAGUUCCUCCUUGUCCUUUAGAUUAGAAGAAGAAGAGGAGAAGCAAGAAUGGCAAUAACCUCCGCUAUUUCUGCUUCGGAAUUGCUACUAGAAGGGAAAAUCUCUUUAGAGAAGGAAAGUCCUAAUGAAAGCUGGAAGGUAAGUCAAUUCUUUAGGAUAGAUCGAAAGUUCCAUCGAUUUAGGUGUAGGAGGAGUAAGGGCUUUAGCCUAGGAAGACGACGGUGCUAGAGAAUCAGUGAUUGGGGGAAUAAUGAUUCCCGAAGGGAGGUAACGAUCUAAGCCUCUUAGGCUUGGCACAAGAACUCUUCUCUCACCCGCUGGAAGGAAGUGUUGUGACCCUGGUAGGAUGAAUUGAAUUAGCUAACGAAUCUUCCGUAAUGCUUGCAAAGAAAUCAGAAGAAAGGCUUCUGCCCCUUGGCGACUCGGAACUAAUGGGAAGAAGUGAAUCAGAAAUGAACUUAUAUAAGAGCGCUUAUUCCGCUUCCUUCUACUCUUGAAAGAUGACACUUUCACGACGUUGGAUAAAUACCAUUUGAAGUUAAAGAGCUAACCUCCAACCUCUUCUUUAAAGCUAUCUAAGAGUGGUUGGGUAUCUGUCUUAAGGCUUAGAAAUCCUUGACCUUAUGAUACAUUCGGUAAGCAGCGCCUCCCCAGCCACAACAACCCCCCGUUCACCAGCCUCCUCUACAAGAGCAUACUGGUGAACAUAUGUCUUUGGAAAAUUGGGAGCGGCUUCUUCAAAAUCACAAGGAGGUUGCCGCGGUGAUUCAAGAGAUUCACCGGGAACUCCACACACGCAUUCUGGGGGGUUUUCAAGCCGAGCGCCUCACAGAAAUGCUGGAGGAGAGACAUGGGGGGGGAAAGGAUGGGGGAAAUCCUCCAGAGUCUCCAAAUAAAGAGACGCCAUAACCCCUACUUUUGGGAAGUCCAAACGGAUUUCCGAAACUUACGGGGUUCUGGAGGUACGGAGAUGCAACUGCAAAAGGAAUGGCAGGGGCGCGCAUGACCCCUCCAGUCAAGAAUUAGGGCCUUACAAUCACUAGCCAAUUUGCUUUUCUCUCUUGCCUUUCUUCGUUCAUUGUUCGAUGAUUCUUCUUCGCCUUGUUGUGUUGGCUUGUUCAAUCAAUCUCAUAGGUUCCUAUGGCUCGUCUUAUACGAAAGGGGAUAUACCAAAACCAUAGGGAAGUAAAGUUGCGAAAAAGAAGCUUUUUUUGAGCGUAUAUAGUGGUAUAGUCCUUAAUGCGCAGGAGCAAGAAAAUGGAUGCACCUGAAGUUGAUGAGCAGGGAAGAUGUCUUUUUUCUAGUUGGCCAAGCGGCCCCGUCUUCCAUAGCCAGGGAUUAGUCAUUUAGGGAUCAGUUGAUGCGCUGGGAUGAAAGAAAGUUCUUCGGUGCUCUUUCGGGACGAACAGUAAAGGCACAUGAAGGUAUUGGCUGUUACUAUCGAUCGGAUGGAGAGAACCGCGGCGCUUUACCUUACCAAUAUCUAAAGGCGAAGAUGUCUUUUCGACUAGCAAGUUUACAUACCUAGGUCCUAAGUUUCUCAUUACUCGGUGAAGUCUGAUUUGAGCCCUGGUCAAACUGAUCUCUCCGGCAGGCGGAGGAUGGUCUCAUAUUAGCAAUGUUUUGAUUGCGCCUAUCUGUCGUUGCCAAUGAACCGAUCACCAAGAGAAAGUAUCUCUCUUAAUCUUAAGGUGAAGCGCCUUUUAGCCAGCUGAAGGAAGGUCGCGUUAGCGCCCCUGCAAUCAGAAAGCCUUUUGAUAACCUUACUACUAAUAGAAAUGGGAAAGAUGCGCUCAAUCCCUUGCUUCUUGCUCCAACUUAGGAGUAGGGGCUGACGAGCUUUUUCCGCAGGCUUCUAUGCUAGUUGUAGCGCGGUAGCGCUUUACUAAUAUAAUAGAAAGUCAAGUUAGUGUUAUGGUGCAGCCGAAGGCCCCCUCUCCUUACAGUCAAGUGGCUGAACGCCCCUCAAAUCUUCCUUGAGUUGAAGUCACUGGGACAUCUACCGCUUGGAUCCUGCCUUGUUAGUCAUCCGUAGAGCUAAAGGGAAUUUUUUAAGCCAUUCCCAUUCCCACACACCAAUACCAACCAGGGUGGCUGCUCAGUAAGUCUUGCCAUAAGAGAAAGGAGAAAUUGCUUGCGCGCUUCAUCAAGUAAGAGAGAGGAUCUUAUGCCAAAAAGAUCACCGGCUCUGAAGGCCUGCAAUUGUGACUUUAGUUCCGGUGGUUCGCUUUGCUGCCGGGGUGCAACAUUUGUGAGACUUCGAAUGUAGUGGUCCGUAUGCCCCUCCCCCUCGCCAAGCCUGAAGAAAGGAGCAACUUAGAUACCUCUUUGUUAACUAUAUUCCUGGUUUGCUAAAAGGGUCCUUGGGCCCAAUCAAUCUCUAUACUAUUGAUGCAAUGGACUCCCCAAAGCCACUAAACCACUCUCUUCCACCCGAUUUGAACUGAACCUCGUUCUAGUGAUAUUUCUCCCUUUUAAAACUGAAACUCAGUUGCCUAUCUGAUCCUUGGUCUAAUUGGGCCUUUCUCUAUAGCUCGAAUAGAAUAGCUGGGCUAGCCCUUCCCUGGCUUGGUUGGUUAUAUAAGAGAAUUCCGGGAGAAAGCAAGUUAGACCUUACUUAGGGCGAAAAGAUUUCUUGGAUGGUUCAUUCCAGUCUGAAGUCAGUCAAGUCAUGAAAUUGACAGAAGUUCCCCCUUAAACCAACCCUAAGAGGGAAUUCUUCUAUUCAUUAAGAUGAAGCCAUUCAGUCAGCUCUGAAUCUGAACUCAAUGAUUACAAUUCAAGAAGGGCAUGAAGCUUUGGCUCAGUACAGUAGCAUUUGACUUUGGGAAAGAGAAUCGAUCGCUUACCUUGUUUGGCAUGCCAGAAGCAUUUCGCUGUGGUUCUCAUUGAUUGAGUCAAUCCAGAGACAAAGCAAAGGGAGUUCCGUGGGUUCAAUUUGCCUAGAGGCAGAAGGCCUAGAAGAGGCCUAGAAGUCAUAAGGAAUAGGCUUUUUGGUACUAGCUUGAGGAAGAGAGAAUCCAUAGGUCAAACUAUUUGCAACAAGUUCUUCUCUCAUCCUUCCUAAAUGUUGCUCUUAUACUUACUUAAGAACAAAAAGAAUAGCUAGGUUUCCUUUUUCCCGAGGGGUCACUGGCACUCUAAUCUAAGACCUAUACCUAUCUUCGCUAUCGCUCAUGACUUCCGUCUUGUACGAUAUCAGUCAUUGGAAUCAAAGAAAAGAACUUCAGAGUGGUCACUUCCCUCUUCUUAUUACUUUAGACAAUGCUUCCGGAGCUAGACGGAAACAACCUUCUACCUUAAAAUCUUUUCAAAAGCAUUCGCUACCGGUUUUGGAAAUUUUACCCAUUCACAUCUUUCUGAAAAAAAACUUCUACCUCGAGCACACUCAAUGGAGCCCUGGGUUACCGAAAGCGAUCAAUCUUUCUUCUGGUGGGAGGGAGUCUUGUAAUGGGGGAGCCACUUGACUGUCGCCGUAGCGAAAGUGAAAUAAAAAAAUAAGAACUUUCUUGACUGGUCAUGUGCGUCACUUGGGCCAAGACAAGAAUGUAUAUUCGUUUUUACCUUAUGAACGAAGCCAACCAUGGGGACCGGUUCCUUCUUUCUUUAUGUUAUGUCGGUUGCGGUGGAGGGCACUUAACCAGAGUUCUUGUGGGCAGGCUUCCUUCUAGGACAGGCUUUCUUGCCAAAAAUAUUUCCUUAGAAUAAGGGAUUUCCUCUGUUACGGAAGGAAACACUCUGUUGAUUGCUCCGAUGAUCGUGACCUUCGAAACCCGGUGCCAAUGGAACAUCCACGUUAGCUUCCGUUGCAGAAGAUCGCAUUUUUGUUGGAACUCUCUCCUUGUCGAAAAGUAUUUAGAACGCUUCUCAGCUAUCACAAAGAGGGAAAUGUUGAUCAAUCGAUCUGGAAAGACAAUCCUGGUGAGAGCUUUUCAUCAUACCCUGCCGGGCUUGCUUUGCUCGGAUGUUAUUGCCUUUGCCCCCCACGCCAGCUUGCUUUCUCAUCCCUCCCACCCUUGCCUAUACCUAGAAUUCCCAUUUGGUUCCGCUUUUCAUAGAGCUACAUGGGAAUCUUCGUCAGAUCGAUCAUGCAGUUAGGGCCAAUCAAGCAGAGAUUGAUUGGCCUGCCAGAGAGCUGACAUUAGAAGACUGAGACCCACAGCACCAAGAAAGCUGGACGACAUAGGAUCAAAAGUUCAGGAUAAUGUGAUCCAAGUCAAUGAUGAGGCAAAGCAGUUCCUUGACUUUGUCCAUCGAGUAAGUAGCACGCUUGCAAAGGGUAGAAAGCGGACAGAUGCCAUCGAAUCGGAUGUGAACAAAUUCCAGAAAUCCACUCUUAGAGUUCGAGAAUCCAAGCGCUAGCAAGUCAGCUAGCGAACCAAGGGGAAAAGAAAGGGGGCCCUUGGGCCACUUGACUCUAAGGAAAGGGGAAAAGUUAGUUUCGUCUUCUACAAUAUAUGCUCUUUAACUGGUUCAUACUGGAAGAAUGGAUGGCGUAGGAGUCUCUCUUCUGAGACUUGGACUGAUGAACUGUGUAACCUAUAUUCUCUAACCUUCCUCGAUACCCUAGAGGUCGACUCUUGCCACAAGGAAUGUCAUCACCUUUCGGCUGUUCUACGAUAUUCCUUGGAGGAUGGAACCUUUCUAUUGACCUAACUUUCCAGUGAGCGGACCUACUCGAAAGAAGGAAAAAGAAGGGGGUUGGGGUGCUUCUAUAUAAUCUCUAAUCCGAGUCUUACCCCUAUAUAUGUGGAAAUUCUGCUACAAAUGGAUUGGAUGCACGGAACUCACCUAAAAACCCAAACCUGCGUGCAGUCGAACUGCUUUAUUCAACUUGGCAAAGACAAAGCAUGACCUCUGGAACCAAAUCAUUCUUGUCUCUGGAUUGCCUCACAACUCGAAGCAUGAGGCCUGGACCCAUUGGUUGAUAAGAUCACAUCUUCAUGACAAAACGUGUACACGUUCUGCCUAACUCAAGGUAAUGGGCCAAACCUAACGAGUCCAAACAAAUUGGAUCUUGUUGUAUGACAAAACCACAGAUUGGGCUUAAUAUUCAAGGCCCAAAAAAGAUGGGUUGAAUCCAGAAAGCCUUACCGCUCUUAUUCUGCAGCCUUUAGCACAUAGCAGUCGACGCAGAAGAGAGCAGCCCUACAAAAUAGUCAAACUUCCUUUCUGUGAUGUUAGUGUUCAUAUUAUAUACACUGAUGUAAGUGGAAUCAAUCACCUAAAUGACAUGAUUCAACUGCCAGUGAGAUUAGGAGCUUCCUGAGAAGAGUAAGUUGAAUCAUGUAAAUAGCAUGAUUCCUCAGCUGAAGCAUUCUUUAAACACUGAAAAAGUGAUAUUAGAAUAUACAUGAGAAGGAAGAAAGUUGAAUCAGCAAAAUGGCAUGAUUCAACAACUAAUGAAUUUGCGAAAGACUGGGAUGUGAAACAAAACGGAAUGUACCAGAUUUUUAGCACGUACAACCAUCAAACCAGAGACCAAAGCAGGGCUCGACAAAAUGGAAAGUAUCAUAGUACGUCGUCCUUCCCUGAAAUGGAACUUUCAUGCUGGAGCAAGAACUAGCAUGAAAGUCGAUCUAUUACGACCAGCGCGGUUGUUCCUAUUUCAUUUUCUUCUUCCAAGCCCUUCUUAGAAAGCACUCACUGAGUUACUUACGGAAUCUCAAAUCUCUCUCGACACCGAGAAUUCUUUAUGUGUCCAGGUCGAUUAGAGGUUCGGCUUCCUUCUCCCCCACCUUUUAGCCUUCUGGACCCCUGGAAAAAAAAAGGCUGAAAAAAAAAAGAAAGAAGAGAAAUUGGGCCAUCUUUCCCGAGAGAGGCCGCCUUCUCUCAGGCCAGCAGUCUUCUAUUUCUAGUCGACUGCUCUAUGAUGGGCUUCCCUCUUUCCUUGGCUCUACUCGCUCGUCUACGCUCCGCCCCAACAAGUAAUAAUUGAAAAAUGAUAUUUCCUUUCCUUACAGUCAAGUGGCUUUCCACUCCUGCAUUAAGAUUGAAAACGAAAACUUGUCGUAAAAAAAAAUGCAAUCAAUCAGAAAAAAGAAAAAAUAUGGAAAUAGUGAAUCAAGAUCUAGAUGGAUCCCUAUCUUUAUCUCUAUCCACGGAUAUACCUAUCUAUAUGGAGAGAGAUCUAUCUAUGAAUCGGCCUAGACUAUCCUCUAUCCGGAUAGAUAUGUCCCUAUAAGCGACUACGCCGAUCUUUAUAUGUUUUGGCCACGUCCCUUUCCGCUCCAAAGAAGAAGGUUUGGAUCUUUCAAUCUUAUGUCGUGAGGUAUGUGACCUAUUUUAGCUCCAUAAGAUACCACAACCUUUGGUGUUCUAUGAUUCAUCUCCCAAUAAUGAGUAGGUAGUUCGAUCCUUUUUAUUUUGAUCUUUUUAGUAAACUGAUGGGGGGUGCGGAGCAAUAGGUCGAAUUACUAUAUAAAGAAGAGUUGUAAACUAUAGGACUUCUUGUUCGAGUAGGAAUAUUUCGGUUUUUCUCGUUCCUUCUCUUCGAUAAGAAUAGGGAUUUGAAAUGAUACAAAUUCCUCUUCAUUCUGUUGUGCUCAGCGAAAGAACUGCCUAAGCAUACUUUUUCGGAUCCAAACUUCUUUGUACUUCUAAGUCUUCUUCAUGCAUAGAAAAAUGCAACUGUUGCAAAAACCGGGAUUUUAGUAGUAGGCGGCAUCCCCUCUUAGUUUUAGAGUAGGCGGAACCAUUCUGUUUUGGUUCUUCUCCACGGGUGAUCUAGGAAUUUUCCUAUUAUUUUCUCAAUUGAGAUUUCGAUAUAGAAGGAUCUCUUUAUUUCUUCUCCGCGGGUUCUCGCAUCAUUUUCUUGAAAAGAUAUUAUAUCACCGUGGGAGAGUUUAAAAUGAGUAAUGUUAACCAUUCCAUUAUUCACACAAACCCUUCGAUGACUUAUCGGCUGCCUUGCUUGAGGAAUAGUUUCACAAAAAUGGAGACGAACCGGGAUAACGUCCGAUCUUGUUUCUGGAUUGAGUAGAAAGGGGAUAUAUGAAGUUCGUUCUCUUCCUCUGUGCAUCUCUGUGAUGGGUAAAUCUCCAUAAAAAAGGGACAACUUUCGUGUAGUUUGUGAUUGGAUGUAACUGUUAAGAUUUUCUCUAGAAUAAAUCUUUCUCUUAAUAGAUCUCUUCUUGUUCCUCAAUCUUCCGAGAAUACGGCGUUGUAUUAUUAUAAGUUCUGUGUUCCAAACAUUUCCUGAAAGUAGACGACAAGUUUUAAAUCUUAAUGCAGGCAAGGCAUAUCUCGUUGAAUCAGUCUUUUUCGCCACAUCGCGUAUAAGGGGAAUCGAACCCCCUCUGCUGCUGGCGGGCAGAUGUAUAAUGUACUACUUCGAUCCAGCAACUUCUUAGGAGUAGGUUUUGGCUUGCCCCUCUCCUUACAGUCAAGUGGCUGAACGCCCCUUUCUUCUUAUUAGUCAGAUAGGUUUGGAACCCUUUCCCCUUUUAAUAUAAUAAUAAGGUAAGCUUCCAAAGCUCCUUUCUUCAGCUGGUGCGCAGGAGCGCACUUUCGUUUUCCCCCUAACCUUAACAAGGGGCUUUCAUGAAUAGGGAUUUCCCGCCAGCAGUCUUCUCUUCCUAUCACUUCACUUCGUUCUAGAAAUCUGAUCUCACCGGGCCGGGCGAAGGGGAAGGAAGGGAUGGGUGGUCCGGGAACAACAACGAGAGAGGGCUCGUAGCCCCCCCCUCUCACUCUUCCCCACGCCUAUUUGUUCACCCGAGAUGCAGAACUCUUUUUUCUUUUUUUAAUGAAUAGAUAGAGCCAUGAUACAUUCCGAAAUAUUGUAAAGGUAAAUAGACUCUUUUCGCCCCCUUUUCGAUGUCUGCCUGAGGACCUAUGUUAAUGUUUUGGAAAGGGGAUGUUCGCCUUUUGUAACAAAUAGACCCACGAUACGGACUAAUAUAUGUUCAUCCUUAAACAAUAAUCCGGCCAAGACUCACCAAUAAGGUAAGUCCGCCCUGUGUUUUUUGGAUCAAAUCAGGUGACAAUUCUCCACUCAUGUCCUUCCAGAGCUAGGUAAGUGAUCUUCAAGGGCAUCUCCCCGAUCCAUUCUUCCCAGCGCCGCUCAAUCAAAUCCAUAACUACUGUUGCUUGUGCAGGAGUAACUAGAGAACUUCAAAUUGCAAUAAAAAAGUUGUCAACUAAGAAAUACCGGAAGUCCAUGUGAGCCGGGCUGAUAUUAACCAAAAAGAUACCCUCCUCAAAAGAACCUGAAAUUAAAGACCCAGUUAGGGAUAGAAUUGAGAAUGACAUUAAAAUUGAACAACUGUGUAGGAGUACUAAUAAGUUUUGUAAGGGUAUAGUUUAUUUAAUUGAGUGAAAUUAGGCCAGUAGUCUUUCUGAAUGUGAUAGCUGAGAACUGUGAUUCUUCGCUCGAUCAAUUCUUGCCAUCACGCUCUGGCUUUAGCAUCUGCCAAGCACAUCUAAGCAAAAAAUAAAAAAAAGUGUCUGGAUUUCAAUUGGAUACCCUUUUUCUCUGUUCCAGGUACAAGUCAAGUUGAAUUUACAAAAAAAAAUUCAGUGUUAGAAGUAUUCAAAUCCAUAAAUUCACUACGAAACAAGGCCGGAACCAAUUUGAGACUUUGGAAAACUUCAAAUAGUAAACUGAAACUAUCAAUCAUAUUAAUAUUACAUCUAUCUUCACAUAGAAGUGUUGGAAAAGAAUGCUAUCUGAGAGGCAGAGGGUGACUAUAAACUUCAUCUCUCUCUAGACCUCAGAGAGUUUUUCCAGAGCUGAAUUGCGCGUGCACUUCUGCCAGAGCAGAAUCACGUGCGUACUUGGUGUAUAACCUCAGCAGUAUCUUCCAUCAGAACCCAAAAUCGGCAACGAAUAUGUCCUUUAGACUUUGCUAGAAAUGGCCGAACACUAAAAAAUCGAUGGAAAACCAGCUUAAGCUGGUUGUACUUUGAAGUUCGUUCAAUUCACACAGGCAGGGUGAUUGAGGUGCGUGCUUCAACAUCUAAGUUUCACACAAGGAACCUCCUGCUUUUAAGGAUAAACUACGAUAUUUGAUGGACUGGCAGGUCAGCCACGUAAUUUAUCCCUCAAGCUGAACGAACUUGAACUGCUCCUUUAGUUUAGGGCUAUAGAGUUUACUUGCUUCUCACGGACAGGGGAAAGGGGGGGAGACUAGCCUCAUUACUUCCCACUGGGCGAGAGGUGCACCUAACCCACUUAUCCACUCAUCAAUCACGGUGUUCAGCUGACUUGCACUGAUAGACCCCUAUUGUACUGGAAUUAGGCUCCCAUCUUUUUACUGUUGCCAAUGAAUCUCUUCCAUGUUCGAUUCUACUCUAUGUUAGAACAUUUCUGUGAAUGCUAUUCUGAUCUAAGUGGUCUUAUUAUUUGUCCCGUGUUAGGAAGCAUUACUCCUCUUUUCAUUCCAAAUUCAAGAAUACGACCGAUACGAUUAAUUGGUCUGUGUGCCUCUCUUAUUACUUUUUUGUAUCCCCCUGUUCUUUGGAUACAAUUCAAUCCUUCUACGGCCAAAUCUCAAUUUGUGGAAAGCCUUCGAUGGCUUCCUUAUGAAAACAUCAAUUUGUAUUUGGGUAUAGACGGUAUCUUUUUAUUCUUCGUGAUAUUGACCACAUUUCUGAUCCCUAUUUGCAUUUUAGUGGGUUGAUCUGGAAUGAGAAGUUAUGGGAAAGAGUACAUUACAGCAUUUCUAAUUCAUGAAUUUAUAAUGAUCGCCGUGUUCUUCAUGCUGGAUCUUCUACUAUUCUAUGUUCUUCCCGAAAGUGUGCUAAUCCCUAUGUUGUGCGGAGCUGAGUAUAUUCUAUUCGCUGGGAUAAAGCCUUUCCUUUGCAGGGACCUUGUGCAGUAAACCCCCUACGGGCGGUCGUCCGUCGUCCUAAAGUAGUCCCCACGAAGCUUUUGGGAAGAGGGGUAGUCUUGUGUGUAAGCAUAGCAUUUCUGGUCGAACCCGCCCAACCCAACUAAGAAGAACCGAACUUGACAGACACAUCUUUUUCCUUUUGGGAGAGUACUCUGAAUAGUGGGUACCUCGUAGGACCUCGAACCGCCUACUCGGGUCUUGUAUGGAUAUGCAUGAGGGGGUGCUCCUAGGUGUGUGUAGGGGUUGUGUUUGUUCGCGAGAAAGGAUUCUUCGUCAUGUAAGUUUGGGGGCUAUGGACACACUUGCGCGAAUUUGGGUAACGACUACAAAGGAGAAAUCGAAAGGAAACUGUACCCGACCAGGGAUGGACGUAAACUCGUAAGCUACCGAAGGUAGGGAUAAUCGUCCAGGUCUUAUUGUAAACGAAAAAAGCCGCCCCGCCACAGCAGAUGGGUUGCUUCCUCUGUCGUCGCCGGGGAGCUCUUGGCGAGGAGACUUUAGGAUAAGUUGCUAAAACAAACGGGAUGGGAGGAUCGACCCGUUCAGAUAAUUCCGAAGAAAGACUGUUGGCAACAGGUAGAGAGAUCUUUUUUCCUCUUCAAAACACAAGGAAAUGCGGGCAGGGUAGAGCUCGGCAGAGGGUUCGAGAAUAGGGUAGGGUCCUGUCCUUAAGAUUCAGAUAAGAAAAGAGUUCCAAGCCUUUAUGCUCCGUACAAGUGCUGCAUACAAUUUCCGGCCAGGAUGAUUGAGAAAGAUUCAACCAAUUUGAACCGCUCACAUCACAAUAGUAGUAGCGUAAAGGCCGUAAGUCGGUGGGCGACCAUAACAUAAGGCUAUUACUUUCACACCUCUAUCUCUCUCUGAGAGAGUGAUCCGCUGCGUGAGCAACUCGACUGUGCCUUACAUGUGCUCUACAGGCCGCACGUAAUCUUUCUUCCCAACGAGCCCUUUUUUUUAUUUGGAAGAUGGGCAUUGCGUUCGGUUCGAAAGGCAUGGUUUUCAGUAUGUCUCCAGAUAGGGCCCCCACUAGUUUGGCUAGCUAGUGAGCGGUUCUUUCUGGCGGGAAGCAGGCCGGACCCUACGGGCGGGCAUCUCCCGCAACGCAAGCACCAUUGUUCGACACCACCCGAGAAGUAAAAGAUUCGUCAGUCUAGGCUAAAAAUACAUGCAUAGAUAGUGGUUUAAUGCCAAGGCCGAUGACGGAAGCUCGGGACGGAGCUGUAUGAGGCAGAAGUCUCACGUACGGUUCUCUGAGAAGGGAGUGGAUACCUACUGGAGCUUCGACCAAGCACCACCGGUCAAUUCCGCUUUGGGACCACCCCUGACUCUACCAUUAUUAUAGGGGUAUGGGGUUCAAGACAAAGAAAGAUCAAGGCAGCAUAUCAGUUGUUCCUUUAUACUUUACUUGGAUAUGUUUUUAUGCUAUUAGCUAUUCUGUUGAUUCUUCUCCAAACAGGAACAACCGAUUUACAAAUCUCAUUAACCAUAAAAUUUAGUGAGCGGCGCCAAAUCUUUCUAUGGAUUGCUUCUUUCGCCUCUUUCGCCGUCAAAGUGCCUAUGGUACCAAUUCAUAUUUGGUUACCCGAAGCUCAUGUAGAGGCACCUAUGGCAGGAUCCGUCAUCUUGGCAGGAAUUGCUUUAAAAUUGGGAAACUACGGGUUUUUAAGACCCAUGUUUCCCGAAGCGACACUUUGUUCCACUCCUUUCAUUUAUACUUUAAGCGUGAUUUCUAUAAUAUAUACUUCCUCAACCACUUUAAGCCAGAUCGAUCUUAAGAAGAUCAUUGCUAACUCCUCAGUAGCUCAUAUGAAUCUGGUGACUAUUGGUAUGUUUAGUCGGGCGACGACCGUUAGGUCACCUAUUUUGAGUUAUGGACACACAAAGCCAAAACAUGUGUGCCAGGCGCGCGACCCAUCAACCUACUAGCAAUGGGGGAGAAAGCAUAGCAUAUCGCAAUAAAAGCUUGAUUCGAGGCAUCAACAAAACACUGCUGUCUGUUCCAAAAACAAAAGCCCCUUAGCGCCCCAGGACGGGAGUGGGGGAUAGCCCUACGCGCAGGCAACAGAAGCACCGGCUUUACGAAGUCAGAAUCAAAUCAUUCUGUUGUCUUUCCCAAUUGAUUCGUGAAUAAUAAUUCAAGGGCGUGAAACGAGUACUUCUAGCUGCUUUGCCUGCUUCUUAUUAUGGCGGCUAUGUUUUCGUGGCGAAAAUGAACGAAAAGCGAGAUGAGCGUGCUAUUUUCAAAUCGAUUGAUAGAUAGCCUGAUCUGUUCUGAUAGAUCGAAAGAGAUAGAGAGGGGAAUCUCUCAAGAAUAAGGGGAAAUCUCCUAUUUCUAUCUAUUGAUGAGACAACUAUCUAUUCUUGAUCCAUCAGAAAGAAAUCGAUAUGUAUCUGAUGGAGUCUAUAUCGUACGUAGAGCGCCCAAGCGCUUUUUAGGCCAGCUCAGUUCUCUUAUCCAUCAGUCCAAUACAUGGGCUCAUCUCAUGGAGGGAAAAGCCAAAAUGUAGUUGUCUUGCUCGCCGCCUCGACGCAUUCCCCUCUCUUCCCGGUAUCGUCCCACACAGAAACAAAGAGCGCAGAGCCCCGACCCGACCGGUAGGUCUGCUAACGUAAAGCGAGGAGUUAAGCCUGAACUGGCGAACCGAAGUCACUUUCGGAACCAUACUUCUUACAGCUAACAUGUGUCCAGUCCAGCGGGAACGCGCAGUGCAAAUGAACCUGAGCUGCUAUACCGAUUCCCCGUUGGCCAUAGGGGACCGAGUGGUAAGGCCAUGAUCCGCAGGGGAACAUAUCACUCAUUCUUCCAUUGGGGACAGGUGCAUGAACGACAACUCCAAAUGUCACACAUCCGCCGCCUACCUACCGUUUAGGUGGCCACCAGCGAGAUCAAGUAAGGAAGUGUCGUGGCUGCUCCACUCCGCUGCGCUGCGGUCUUAUGAACUGAACUUUGUUGCUUUCCUGCGCGCGAAGUGAAUGGGCGCUGUGCCGUGUGUCAGUUUCGGGGUGGGGAGCGAAGAGAGAUCGAAAGAAUGAUUCAUUUGGAUCGACAAGCUUUUUCAGCCCAAAAACUAAGAAUCCAUGGAAUGUCUAUCUAUCCAUGAACAUAUAUUCUAUCUGUAUAUCUAGGGAAUCUCUCUAUACAUAUAGAUUUUUUUUAUGGAAUGAUAUGAUCGGUUAGCCGUAGCCGCAUAUCAGCUACGCUUAAUGCGGGAUUUCUGUUGGAUCAGAUCUUUUGGGAAGCUUUUGGACCUAGCGAAAAGGGCUCUAAGCCUUCACGCAAGCAAGCACGAGAGAAGCGGAGCACGAAGCUACCGCUUCCCCCGACCGACUAAAAUACAAUCAGAGAUGGUCUAUUCAACCCCCGGAUAUGUAUGUUGGGAGAACCCCAUGAUCCUUCCGUGUGGAAGGGAUGGUGCGGAGCGAAGGUGAACACGAAUACUAAAAAGCGGCUCAUGGGACCCCAAAAAAAGGGGAUAGAGAGCGUGAAACGGGCUUUCCAAGCAUUAAACAAUCCCUACCUAUACAUUCCAUGGCAACAGACAAAAGGCAAUUUUCUCGUUGUUCUUAACCCCAGGCACAUUUCCGUUCCCAAUAAUCUCCAUGAAAAGACUACUAUGAUUCCUGAACGAACCGAGGGAGAGUCGAGGCAUGAAAUUUUUUAUCUAUGAUCUGCUUAUUUCCAAGUACGUAUCUUUAUCUAAGUCUUAUUACCGACGCGAUGGAUUGCUAUUUGGAAACACUUUCAAUACAAAAAGAGCUCCUUCCGGCUAUACUCUAGUUGGACAGUCUUAGUUCAGUUUGAGAAGUCAAGGAGGCACGAAGAGCUAACAAAGAGUCUUUCUAUUUGACUGUCCGAAAUCAAGUGGGAGAUUCAAUUGAAAAGGCCCCUUACUAUAGAUAGGGUGUUAGCGCUGUUUUUUGAAAUAAGGACGUUUAGGUUUGACUAAUAAGAUAGAAAGGGGCAAGCCAAAACCCACUCUGCUGAGUUCGGCUUUCGGGGUGGGCAAGACAAAACCCACUCUGCUGAGUUCGGCUUUCGAGGCUACCUACUUUAGGGCUUAUGUAAUAUAUAAAGAAGAACCCUUUUAGGGCCUUUUUGUUUAAGGGAUGCUCGCCUUUUGAAUAGAAGAAAGUGGGAGAGCAGAGGUUAUUUCGGUAAACCGAUGCAUGAGCUGAGGCUCCCAUGCCCCGCCGACCCUCCGAAAAAGUAAGGGCUCAUAGGGAGUCAGAAGCAAGUAGAGUAAAAAGGCGGGUAAAAACUCACAUAAAGCAGAGGGGGAGACACAUUCAUGAAAAGCGAGAAGCCCUGCCGUGGGGGACUGACCAACUAUGAAUAGAUCUUACUUAUGCUUGCGGGUAAGAACAUAUAUUAGUCCGUAUCGUGGGUCUAUUUGUUACAAAAGGCGAACAUCCCCUUUCCAAAACAUUAACAUAGGUCCUCAGGCAGACAUCGAAAAGGGGCGAAAAGAGUCUAUUUACCUUUACAAUAUUUCGGAAUGUAUCAUGGCUCUAUCUAUUCAUUAAAAAAGAAAAAGAGUUCUGCAUCUCGGGUGAACAAAUAGGCGUGGGGAAGAGUGAGAGGGGGGGCUACGAGCCCUCUCUCGUUGUUGUUCCUGGACCACCCAUCCCUUCCUUCCCCUUCGCCCGACCCGGUGAGAUCAGAUUUCUAGAACGAAGUGAAGUGAUAGGAAGAGAAGACUGCUGGCGGGAAAUCCCUAUUCAUGAAAGCCCCUUGUUAAGGUUAGGGGGAAAACUAAAGUGCGCUCCUACGCACCAGCUGAAGAAAAGAGCUUUGGAAGCUUACCUUAUUAUUAUAUUAAAAGGGGAAAGGGUUCCAAACCUAUCUGACUAAUAAGAAGAAAGGGGCGUUCAACCACUUGAUUGUAAGGAGAGGGGCAAGCCAAAACCUACUCCUAAGAAGUUGCUGGAUCGAAGUAGUACAUUAUACAUCUGCCCGCCAGCAGUAGAGGGGGUUCGAUUCCCCUUAUAUGCGAUGUGGCGAAAAAGACUGAUUCAACGAGAUAUGCCUUGCCUGCAUUAAGAUUUAAAACUUGUCGUCUACUUUCAGGAAAUGUUUGGAACAGAGAACUUACAAUAAUACAACGCCGUAUUCUCGGAAGAUUGAGGAACAAGAAGAGAUCUAUUAAGAGAAAGAUUUAUUCUAGAGAAAAUCUUAACAGUUACAUCCAAUCACAAACUACACGAAAGUUGUCCCUUUUUUAUGGAGAUUUACCCAUCACAGAGAUGCACAGAGGAAGAGAACGAACUUCAUAUAUCCCCUUUCUACUCAAUCCAGAAACAAGAUCGGACGUUAUCCCGGUUCGUCUCCAUUUUUGUGAAACUAUUCCUCAAGCAAGGCAGCCGAUAAGUCAUCGAAGGGUUUGUGUGAAUAAUGGAAUGGUUAACAUUACUCAUUUUAAACUCUCCCACGGUGAUAUAAUAUCUUUUCAAGAAAAUGAUGCGAGAACCCGCGGUGAAGAAAUAAAGAGAUCCUUCUAUAUCGAAAUCUCAGUUGAGAAAAUAAUAGGAAAAUUCCUGGAUCACCCGUGGAGAAGAACCAAAACAGAAUGGUUCCGCCUACUCAAAACUAAGAGGGGAUGCCGCCUACUACUAAAAUCCCGGUUUUUGCAACAGUUGCGUUCUUCUAUGCAAGAAGAAGACUUAGAAAGAACAAAGAAGUUAGUUUUUGCAACAGUUGUGUUCUUCUAUGAAAGAAGAAUACUUAGAAAGAACAAAGAAGUUUGGAUCCGAAAAAGUAUGCUUAGGCAGUUCUUUCGCUGAGCACAAACAGAAUGAAGAGGAAUUUGUAUCAUUUCAAAAUCCCUAUUCUUAUCGAAGAGAAGGAACGAGAAAAACCGAAAUAUUCCUACUCGAACAAGAAGUCCUAUAGUUUACAACUCUUCUUUAUAUAGUAAUUCGACCUAUUGCUCCGCACCCCCCAUCAGUUUACUAAAAAGAUCAAAUAAAAGGAUCGAACUACCUACUCAUUAUUGGGAGGUGAAUCAUAGAACACCAAAGGCUGUGGUAUCUUAUGGACCUAACAUAGGUCACAUACCUCACGACAUAAUAUUAAAAGAUCCAAACCUUCUUCUUCGGAGCGGAAAGGGACGUGGCCAAAACAUAUAAAGAUCGGCGUAGUCGCUCAUAGGGACAUAUCUAUCCGGAUAGAGGAUAGUCUAGGCUGAUUCAUAGAUAGAUCUCUCUCCAUAUAGAUAGGUAUCUCCGUGGAUAGAGAUAAAGAUAGGGAUCCAUCUAGAUCUUGAUUCACUAUUUCCAUAUUUUUUCUUUUUCUGAUUGAUUGCCUUUUUUUUAUGACAAUUUUUCGUUUUCAAUCUUAAUGCAGGAGCGGAAAGCCACUUGACUGUAAGGAAAUGAAACAUCAUUUUUCAAUUAUUACUUGCUGGGGAGGAGCGUAGAUGAGCGAUCAGAGCCAAGGAAAGAGGGAAGCCUGUCAUAGAGCAGUCGACUAGAAGUAGAAGACUGCUGGCCUGAGAGAAGGCGGCCUCUCUCGGGAAAGAUGGCCCAAUUUCUCUUCUUUCUUUUUGAUUUCAGGUUUUUUUUCCAGGGGUCCAGAAGGCUAAAAGGUGGGGGAGAAGGAAGCCGAACCUCUAAUCGACCUGGACACAUAAAGAAUUCUCAGCGUCGAGAGAGAUUUGAGAUUCCGUAAGUAACUCAGUGAGUUCUUUCUAAGAAGGGCUUGGAAGAAGAAAAUGAAAUAGGAACAACCGCGCUGGUCGUAAUAGAUCGACUUUCAUGCUAUUUCUUGCUCCAGCAUGAAAGUUCCAUUUCAGGGAAGGACGACGUACUAUGAUACUUUCCAUUUUGUCGCGCCCUGCUUUGGUCUCUGGUUUGAUGGUUGUACGUGCUAAAAUCCGGUACAUUCCGUUUGUUUCUCAUCCCAGUCUUUCGCAACACUUCAGGUUUACUUCUUUUGUUAGGUCUCGACUUCUUCGCUAUGAUCUUCCCAGUAGUUUAUAUAGGAGCUAUAGCCGGUUCAUUCCUAUUCAUUGUUAUGAUGUUCCAUAUUCAAAUAGCGGAGAUUCACGAAGAAGUAUUGCGCUAUUUACCAGUAAGUGGUAUUAUUGGACUUAUCUUUUGGUGGGAGAUGUUCUUUACUUUAGAUAAUAAAGGCAUUCCAUUACUACCAACCCAAAGAAAUACGACCUCUCUGAGAUAUACGGUUUAUGCCGGAAAGGUACGAAGUUGGACUAAUUUGGAAACAUUGGGCAAUUUACUUUAUUCCUACUAUUUCGUCUGGUUUUUGGUUUCUAUUCUUAUUUUAUUAGUAGCCAUGAUUGGGGCUAUAGUACUGACUAUGCAUAGGACUACUAAGGUGAAAACAAAGGAUGUAUUUCGACGAAAUGCUCUGGAUUCUAGGAGGACUAUAAUGAGGAGGACGACAGACCCGCUCACGACAAUAAGGAGAAGCAGUGGUUCGAAUCCACAUCGUGAGCUUUAGUACACAAGUCGUCGAAUCCCUUAAUUUGGGGUAAGAGUCUCGAUGACAAGUCGUGCCUGCAGUUGUUCAUGCACAUCUUAAGAAGCUCCCAUGUUUCAAGAUUGAAGUUUUCACCAGAAAUCUCUGUAAAAAAAAGAACGUUGUAACGAGAUCACAUAAGUCCAACAUAAUCCUCCUAACAGGCAGCCAAAGAUGGGUGAGGAUCAAUUAGUUAGCUAACGAAGUUGAUGUUGAAGUAGAAAGAAGGCUAAUAAAUAGGAACGGAGUCGGGGAAUUCUAACUCUUAACUUGCUCCUGCACCCAUUGCUUCAGCGGGAGCUACUAUCGGUAUUGGAAACGUCCUUAGUUCCUCGAUUCAUUCUGUGGCGUGAAAUCCAUCAUUGGCAAAACAAUUAUUUGGUUAUGCCAUUUUGGGCUUUGCUCUAACCGAAGCUAUUGCAUCGUUUGCCCCAAUGAUGGCCUUUUUGAUCUCAUUCGUAUUCCAAGUUCGUUAGUAAUCGCUUACAGUGGGUGGAUAAGCAGGAAAUGAUCCUUGUGGUUAGACUAACUGGCCGAGAAGGCUAGUGAGGUUCCUGCUAUGGUGAAGUGAAAGAUCUUUCACUAUAGUGGGAAGAAGACAGGUGGGCGCGAGCCGAGCGAGAACAAAGCACGUUUCAGUGGUGGGCUGUCUUCGCGGUACUAUUUCAUCGGCUUUUUCUUGGCAAAAGUCGCUUUAAUCAAAGUCAAGGUGAGGUUUGGAACCCACAUUGGUCUAUCCCUUUUCUUUGAUAGGCGUAGAAAGUAGUUGCUGAGCUACUUCUCACUGAGUUACUUACGGAGGGGCCGUUGAGAGAGAUUUUCAUGUGUUAGCUAGCCUCAUAUCUUUCUCAAUGUCCGGACAUCUAUCCAAUGCCUUCUUGCUUUCCGGCCUUUCACUUCCCGCUUGAGGAAUAGUCUCUGGAUGUUCCAGUAGCUUUGCUUUAUUCUAAGUCAUUAUUUACAAGACUAGCUUGAAGCCUGGAUUUUGAAUUCGAUUCUUUCUUGCUGGGUAAAUAAGGUAGCCAACAGCUUGUGGGGGAACAACUAACCUAAGAAACUUGUGGUCUGAUUGCGCCAUCAGCGAAACCAUUUUUUUUUCUGCGCUAGACAAGAAAGAGAAAGGGGGAAAAGUAAGGCUUUAAGUAAAGGUUUCUAACUCAUUUGAACUUCCGGUCGGGGUAACUAAAAAGAAAUCCAUGACCGAGUUACGAGAGCUAUAACGUGGGUCUAUGCCCCUUUUACCCCCUAUCACCGGAACUACUUAAGCUGGUUGUCCCAACUCAAAGCAAAAAUCAGAUUUGGAAUCGGAGGUAUUUCACGGGAUAGCCUUUCUGACAAGCUCUUUUUAGUGAAAUCGGUCUGAUUUUGACCGAACUAUUCCCACCUAAACAUAAAGAGCUUAGAUAGUCUCACUGUGAAAUGUUCGCAUCCAAGUCGUUAUUCCUUAAUGAGAAGAGGCGUAAAGAGAUAGUUCUGUCACGUCUCUAUGUCGACCAAGGUUAUUUGUCUAAUAGAAAGCGUUCU